rnacentral:lncRNA from 1 species
GAGAGAGUGAAUGGGACGUGAGGAAGCAGAUGGAGAUGGAAACCUGGAGGAAGACAAUUCAGGACUAGUUCAGCAGCUCAAGGAAGGCCUCCAGGAUACAGGCUUCUUCUACUGUCCUAAACAUGUAUGUGGCUAUCAUCCUCAUGUUGACAAGAUUGAUGCUUUCCUCCAGACACCACAUUCUGCAUCCCAGGCAGGAGGAAGGAGAUGGUCAGAAGACAGCUGAAACUGUCCUUUCACUAGGAAACAAACCAUUUUCCUGGAUCCUCAGUAGUAGGCUUCUGAUUACUUCAUGGCCAGAACUGGGUCAUACCACUAUUCCUCGUGGGCACGUUGCUGCCUUGAAUACCAGCUAUACCUUCUUACUAAGGAAGAUGGAACUAACAGUGUUUGUGAUAAUGGAUAGCCUGUAGAAAAAUGGAUAUAGAUGAGUCUCAAAAUAAAAAUAUACAAAUAUACAUGUCCUAGUCAAUAUACAUA